rnacentral:rRNA from 1 species
AUUGAACGCUGGCGGCAGGCCUAACACAUGCAAGUCGAGCGGAGCGGCGGACGGGUGGGUAAUGCCUAGGAAUCUGCCUGGUCGUGGGGGAUGACGUCCGGAAACGGGCGCUAAUACCGCAUCCUAUCAGAUGGGCCUAGGUCGGAUUGGCUAGUUGGUGGGGUAAGGGCCUACCAAGGCGACGAUCCGUAACUGGUCUGAGAGGAUGAUCAGUCACACUGGGACUGAGACACGGUCCAGACUCCGACGGGAGGCAGCAGUGGGGAAUAUUGGACAAUGGGCGAAAGCCUGAUGCAGCCAUGCCGCGUGUGUGAAGAAGGUCUUCGGGUUGUAAAGCACUUUAAGUUGGGAGGCGUUACCAACAGAAUAAGCACCGGCUAACUUCGUGCCAGCAGCCGCGGUAAUUC